UGUCCUGUGUGAUAAUCAAGUAGACAGCUUA
rnacentral:piRNA from 1 species